GAUGAACGCUGGCGGCGUGCCUAAUACAUGCAAGUCGAGCGAACGGACGAGAAGCUUGCUCCUCUGAUGUUAGCGGCGGACGGGUGAGUAACACGUGGAUAACCUACCUAUAAGACUGGGAUAACUUCGGGAAACCGGAGCUAAUACCGGAUGAUAUUUUGAACCGCAUGGUUCAAAAGUGAAAGAAGGUCUUGCUGUCACUUAUAGAUGGAUCCGCGCUGCAUUAGCUAGUUGGUAAGGUAACGGCUUACCAAGGCAACGAUGCAUAGCCGACCUGAGAGGGUGAUCGGCCACACUGGAACUGAGACACGGUCCAGACUCCUACGGGAGGCAGCAGUAGGGAAUCUUCCGCAAUGGGCGAAAGCCUGACGGAGCAACGCCGCGUGAGUGAUGAAGGUCUUCGGAUCGUAAAACUCUGUUAUUAGGGAAGAACAAAUGUGUAAGUAACUGUGCACAUCUUGACGGUACCUAAUCAGAAAGCCACGGCUAACUACGUG
rnacentral:rRNA from 1 species